UCUACUCUUGGCCAGCCUUCUGAAAGGAAGAUUAAUCCAGGAUGGGAUCAUGAGUUCACAUGUCCGCAUGAUUAAAGGUAUUUUCCGGUAGACGAUGGGGAUGCGUUCCAUUAGAUAGUAGGCGGGGUAACGGCCCACCUAGUCAACGAUGGAUAGGGGUUCUGAGAGGAAGGUCCCCCACAUUGGAACUGAGACACGGUCCAA
rnacentral:rRNA from 1 species